AUUGUGGGUGUUUGACAACAUUAUGGAAAGAGUCUCGCUCAAGGAGAAGUCUCGUUCUGAAAUGUGACGAGGUGACGUGUUACCAGAAGACAACGGUGAAAUAGAGGAAUACAUCCAUGGUGGAAACGAGAGUGCCGGCCGGGCAGAGUUUGUUGUGUUGGAGUUCAGAAAGUGUUAUCUAAAAGA